rnacentral:tRNA from 1 species
UCCCUGGUGGUUCACUGGUAAAGAAUCUGCCUGCCAAUGCAGAAGAUACAGGUUCGAUCCCUGGCUUGGGAA